GGCCUGCGCAUGCGCGCGCCCCAGGGCCCAGCCCUGUUCCUGCUCCGGCUCCUGCGGGGAUGGAUGCUUCACGCAGUAAGCGACCUAAGUCGCGGAAGCGUAGACACCCGGCUUUUCCCGCGUGCUCUAUCGGGCUCCCCUGGACACGGAGGGUGGAGCAGAAAGAGCAGAGGGGCCGGUGGGAGCCAUGGGGAGUCCGCCUAGCUCCAGAGGAAAGUGCUGCUUUCAACAUCUGCCACAUUUGCAAGAAGAGCAAAGGUGGCCCAUUUGAGACCACCCUUGAACUAAACCAUCCAGUGAGCCCCUGAGGUCGGGACAGAAGUGGCCAUGACCUUCCUCAAGCAGGGACUGUGGUGGAGCCCACCUUAUCCAGCACAAGGUGGCCUGCUGACUUCUGGUGACAGUGAUGCCAACUUCCUGGCUGUCCAAGGUUCAAAUCUUGGUCUUAAUCCUCCUGGCCUUCUCUCAUCAAUGGCCAGAGCCACCCUAGCUAACAAGGUGCCCAGGGACUCCGGGGUGGGAGAAGUCCAGCUUCUUCUUAGCUGAGGACAUUUGAGUCUCGUCACAGCCCCCAAAAGAAUACUCAUUUUUGUAGCUGGAGGGCCUGGCCUCUGUCUAUCUUUGCUUUUCCAGAAGCUGACAAGUACCUGCCGGAAAAACUGCCUCUUUUCCCUCCCGUGCUUGGAGCAGGCAUUGCUGACAGAUCACAGCUGCUGGGCCCAAAGGUCCCUUUGCACGCGGGACUUCAGGAAGUUGCUGCUGACCUAUGGGAGUUGGUGCAGAAAGAUGAAAUUUGUUAUCCUUGGCUGUAUCAACUCUCUCUCCUCUCCUUGGUGGUGAUAGUUUUGUUCUUAAAAGCCUCUUGUGAGAGAAUUUGUGGAUGAAGAACCUGUAAGAUCACAAGUGAAACAAUUUAUUGAUGUCAAUAGAUUUAUACACGUUCAUUAAGAAUCAAAACUAAACUAAAACAUCAGUCUGACUAAAGAGACCACCACAGAUAUUUCAUAUGCUGUACAUCAGUAACAAAGGGUACCAAAUAGUUAAUAUCCAUGUACUAGUCACAUGAGAAAUGUUUUAGGGUCAUUGACCAGUGUAGUCAGUACAGUGGUCCCAUGGUAUUUGUGGGGGAUUGGUUCCAGGAAUCUCUUGGACACCAACUCCGUGGAUGAUCAGACAAUAUAAAAUGUGGGUCAGGUGCGGUGGCUCAUACCUGUAAUCCCAGCAUUUUGCGAGAAUCACUUGAGGCCAGUUCAAGAUCAGCCUGUGCAACAUAGCAAGACUCCACCUCUAAAAAAAAAAAAAAAAAAAAAAAUUAGCCCAGUGCAGCGGUGUGCACCUGUAGUCCCAGCUUCUCAUGAGGUUGAGGUGAAAAGAUCACUUGGGCCCAGGAGUUUGAGGCUGCAGUGAGCUGUGACUGCCACUGCACUCCAGCCUGAGUGACAAAGCAAGUCCCUGUCUCUUAAAAAAUAAAAUAAAAUAAUAGCAUUUGAAUGUAACCUACACACAUCUCCCAUAUACUUUAAAUCAUCUGUAGAUUGCUUAUAAUACCUAAUACACUGUAAAUGCUAUGUAAA
ensembl:lncRNA novel transcript